GUAGGGUGCGAGCGUUGUCCGGAAUUACUGGGCGUAAAGGGCUCGUAGGCGGCCAACUAAGUCAGACGUGAAAUCCCUCGGCUUAACCGGGGAACUGCGUCUGAUACUGGAUGGCUCGAGUGUGGGAGAGGGAUGCGGAAUUCCAGGUGUAGCGGUGAAAUGCGUAGAUAUCUGGAGGAACACCGGUGGCGAAGGCGGCAUCCUGGACCACGACUGACGCUGAUGAGCGAAAGCCAGGGGAGCAAACGGGAUUAGAUACCCCGGUAGUCCUGGCCCUAAACGAUGAAUGCUUGGUGUGGCGGGUAUCGAUCCCUGCCGUGCCGAAGCUAACGCAUUAAGCAUUCCGCCUGGGGAGUACGGUCGCAAGGCUG
rnacentral:rRNA from 1 species